CUGGCUUGUGGCAGCCAAGCGUUCAUAGCGACGUUGCCUUUUGAUUCUUCGAUGUCGGCUCUUCCUAUCAUUGUGUCGCAGAAGUCACCAAGAGUAGGAUUGUUCACCCACUAACAGGGAACGUGAGCUGGGGUUUAGACCGUCGUGAGACAGGUUAGUUUUCCCCUACUGAUGAAUUUGUUGUCCCGACAGUAAUCCAACUUAGUACGAGAG
rnacentral:rRNA from 1 species